rnacentral:lncRNA from 1 species
UUGUAAACUUGAGGUUUGCCCCCAUUAAACUAUAUAUCUGUUUGAAGAUUAGAGUUUGAACUCUUAUUGUCCUUCAAUGUUCAGAAACAAACACACUAGUUUCUUUAUUAUCUGCUUCAAGAUUGAACAGAAAAGCAACAAAAUUAAAAAAAGAUACAGUAGAGAAGUGUGCUAUGACGGAGAAAAAUGAAGAAAAUACAAGUUAUACAUUGGAACGAACAAGAUUUCAAUUAUCGUCACAAAACCCACCAGAAUUUUU